CAAGCGCUUAGUACAGUGCUCUGCACGCGGUAAGCGUUCAAUAAAUACGAGUGAAUGAAUGAUUGGGCCUAGGGCCAAACGAGGCCCGGUCGUAGGGGGAACCGCCCCCUUUGGGCGGGCUCAUUCAUUCAUUCAGUCGUAUUUAUUGAGCGCUUACCCUGUGCAGAGCGCUGGGGCGCUUAGCACAGUGCUGGGCACGUAGUAGGUGCCUGAUGACGGUGAGGACGGACCCCGCCGUGGGGCCGGGAGAGAAAGAAACCGGACCACGCGAAAGCAUCUGGGAAGUGGGAGAAACCAGCGUUUGAGGUGGAUCUGGAACUCUAGGGCUGGCCCCUUCCCUGUGAAGGUCAAGGAAGUGAGGUGGAGACUCAGGAGGACUUCAGGGGAAAACAAAAGUCAAGGCUGCGGGCCAGCGGGUGCCUGACAUCACAUGCUGUUUCUGGCCUGCUGGGGCCCCGGGCAGGGAAGGGCUGUAAUAAACUAAAGCAACCUUAAAAGCUUGGA